rnacentral:lncRNA from 1 species
ACGAUAUCUGUGAAGACAUUAUAUAUCUAUCACGAGUUAUGAUUUCAAAGGUGCAAAUAUUCAUUAUAGUUAAUAUGACUGAUUUUAUUUAUCAAAUUUACUAACGAUCUCUUGAAGAUGGUGCACAAGAUUGGAACGCGAAGGCUCAAGGAUGUGAAUUGAUGCUCUCUUCAGGGGGAGUUAAUACGCGUUGCACUCUUUUUCCCUUACAAGGUUUUGUCCCACUGAGUUUUCCUUGCAAGGUUUUUAACG